rnacentral:rRNA from 1 species
UCCCUCUUGCGUCGUGCCUAAUACAUGCACGUCGAGCGAACGGACGAGAAGCUUGCUUUUCUGAUGUUAGCGGCGGACGGGUGAGUAACACGUGGAUAACCUACCUAUAAGACUGGGAUAACUUCGGGAAACCGGAGCUAAUACCGGAUAAUAUUUUGAACCGCAUGGUUCAAAAGUGAAAGACGGUCUUGCUGUCACUUAUAGAUGGAUCCGCGCUGCAUUAGCUAGUUGGUAAGGUAACGGCUUACCAAGGCAACGAUGCAUAGCCGACCUGAGAGGGUGAUCGGCCACACUGGAACUGAGACACGGUCCAGACUCCUACGGGAGGCAGCAGUAGGGAAUCUUCCGCAAUGGGCGAAAGCCUGACGGAGCAACGCCGCGUGAGUGAUGAAGGUCUUCGGAUCGUAAAACUCUGUUAUUAGGGAAGAACAUAUGUGUAAGUAACUGUGCACAUCUUGACGGUACCUAAUCAGAAAGCCACGGCUAACUACGUG